ACACAUUACCUGAGCUGCAGCAGUGCAACAAGUGUUACAGCAAUUGCCAGCAAUUUUCUGCUUGACCAGCAUGUUUAAGCCAGCCAAACUGGUCAAAUUAAAAAGUCAUCUUCAAAUCCACUUCAACAAGGCAGUUGUCUGUGGAGUACAUCUUGUCUUGGGAGCACCCUUUGAUUUUACAUCUUGUGACAUUCCAAUCAUACGGAGAUGGUGGACUCUUUUUCUUCU